rnacentral:rRNA from 1 species
UACGGGGGGGACAAGCGUUGUUCGGAUUUACUGGGCGUAAAGGGCGCGUAGGCGGACCUUCAAGUCGGGUGUGAAAACUCCGGGCUUAACUCGGAGCCUGCAUUCGAUACUGUCGGUCUUGAGUACAGGAGAGGAAAGCGGAAUUCCAGGUGUAGCGGUGAAAUGCGUAGAUAUCUGGAAGAACACCAGUAGCGAAGGCGGCUUUCUGGCCUGAUACUGACGCUCAAGCGCGAAGGCUAGGGGAGCAAACAGGAUUAGAUACCCCUGUA